UACGAAGGGGGCUAGCGUUGCUCGGAAUCACUGGGCGUAAAGCGCACGUAGGCGGAUUGCUAAGUCAGGGGUGAAAUGCCGAGGCUCAACCUCGGAACUGCCUUUGAUACUGGCGAUCUUAGAGUCCGGGAGAGGUGAGUGGAACUCCGAGUGUAGAGGUGAAAUUCGUAGAUAUUCGGAAGAACACCAGUGGCGAAGGCGGCUCACUGGCCCGGUACUGACGCUCAGGUGCGAAAGCGUGGGGAGCAAACAGG
rnacentral:rRNA from 1 species